rnacentral:tRNA from 2 species
GGGGCGGUAGCUCAGCUGGGAGAGCAUCGCGUUCGCAAUGCGAAGGUCGGGAGUUCGAUCCUCCUCCGCUCCACCA